GGUUCUAUGGUGUAAUGGUUAGCACUCUGGACUUUGAAUCCAGCGAGCUGAGUUCAAAUCUCGGUAGGAUCA
rnacentral:tRNA from 1 species